rnacentral:rRNA from 1 species
GACGUAGGGGGCCAGCGUUGUUCGGAAUUACUGGGUGUAAAGGGUUCGUAGGCGGUGUGGCAAGUCGGGAGUGAAAUCUCUGGGCUCAACCCAGAGACUGCUUCCGAAACUGCUGUGCUUGAGUGUGAGAGAGGCUCGUGGAAUUGCAGGUGUAGCGGUGAAAUGCGUAGAUAUCUGCAGGAACACCCGUGGCGAAAGCGGCGAGCUGGAUCACUACUGACGCUGAGGAACGAAAGCUAGGGUAGCGAACGGG